GAUGAACGCUGGCGGCGUGCCUAAUACAUGCAAGUCGAGCGAACGGACGAGAAGCUUGCUUCUCUGAUGUUAGCGGCUGACGGGUGAGUAACACGUGGAUAACCUACCUAUAAGACUGGGAUAACUUCGUGAAACCGGAGCUAAUACCGGAUAAUAUUUUGAACCGCAUGGUUCAAAAGUGAAAGACGGUCUUGCUGUCACUUAUAGAUGGAUCCGCGCUGCAUUAGCUAGUUGGUAAGGUAACGGCUUACCAAGGCAACGAUGCAUAGCCGACCUGAGAGGGUGAUCGGCCACACUGGAACUGAGACACGGUCCAGACUCCUACGGGAGGCAGCAGUAGGGAAUCUUCCGCAAUGGGCGAAAGCCUGACGGAGCAACGCCGCGUGAGUGAUGAAGGUCUUCGGAUCGUAAAACUCUGUUAUUAGGGAAGAACAGAUGUGUAAGUAACUGUGCACAUCUUGACGGUACCUAAUCAGAAAGCCACGGCUAACUACGUG
rnacentral:rRNA from 1 species